CUUGUUCAAAAACAAAUGAGGUCACUUCGGUAUGUCAUUUCAAAUGUUUAAAACCAGGAUACACGGUAUCUCCCACUAGGACAAUCAGAUGCUUACCGAACCAACAAUGGAGCGGGAAUAUUCCAUGUUGUGGUCGUUCUUGCAAUCUGUUCAUAAAUAUGGAUGUUUAUAUAAUUUUGGAAUCUUCUGAAUACAUUGGAGUGAAUACUUGGGUUGAAAUGAAGAAAUUAAUCAAGGAUGUAUUGGAGAAAUACGACAUAUCUUCGGAAUCAAUGAAGAUUUCUGCAAUGCG